GUCAAUGAGUGAAAUAAAUAUUUGAUCCCCUAUCAAUCAGCAAGAUUUCUGGCUCGAAGGUGUCUUUUAUACAGGUAACGAGCUGAGAUUAGGAACACUCUCUUAAAGGCAGUGCUCCUAAUCUCAGUUUGUUACCUGUUUAAAAGACACCUGUCCACAGAAGCAAUCAACCAAUCAUAUUCCAAACUCUCCACCAUGGCCAAGACCAAAGAGCUGUCCAAGGAUGUCAGGGAGAAGAUUGUAGACCUACACAAGGC
rnacentral:lncRNA from 1 species